rnacentral:tRNA from 1 species
CGGGAUGUGGCUCAGCCUGGUAGAGCGCACGCUUGGGGUGCGUGAGGUCCCGGGUUCAAAUCCCGGCAUCCCGACCA